CCCUCAUGUUGUAGCUGUAGGGCUACAGCAUGCUUUUCAGCCUCAACAUUGUCACAUAAAAGCUCAGGACAUCUUCCCCAUCGCUCUAUUCGUAUUCAUGAUCCAUCCUACAAUUUGCAACAUGAUAUAUAGCUGCAGAUCCCUACAUCACAAAAUUCUUCACCUACCUACUAUUCUUCCUAAUCGCUACACUCAUUCUAAUUAUCGCCAACAACCUAUUCAUCCUAUUCAUCGGAUGGGAAGGAGUCGGAAUUAUGUCCUUCCUACUAAUCAGCUGAUGACACGGCCGAGCAGAAGCUAACACCGCCGCCCUUCAAGCCGUACUUUACAACCGAAUCGGGGACUUAUCCUCUGCAUAGCAUGAUUAGCCUCCGCCACAAACACCUGAGAAAUCCAACAACUUCCCACCUCCCCCCAAACCCCCACACUACCAUUACUAGGUCUCAUCCUAGCUGCAACCGGAAAAUCCGCCCAAUUCGGCCUCCACCCAUGAUUCCCAGCCGCAAUAGAAGGGCCAACCCCCGUAUCCGCCCUACUCCACUCAAGCACAAUAGUAGUCGCCGGAAUCUUCCUCCUCAUCCGAACCCACCCCCUAUUCAACAACAACCAAACUGCCCUAACCCUGUGCUUAUGUUUAGGGGCCUUUCUCCACAUUUCUACUCACGCCUUCUUUAAGGCCAUACUCUUCCUAUGCUCAGGCUCCAUCAUCCACAACUUAAAUGGAGAACAAGACAUCCGAAAAAUAGGAGGGAUUCAAAAAAUACUCCCCACAACCACCGCAUACCUCACCAUUGGAAACCUCGCCCAUAGGAAAGAAAAGCUGAAGUACAACUUUUGAACCUGAUAAAGAAGAGGUUAUGCUACCUAAGACAGGAUAUCAAGAAAACAAAGAUACAAAAUGUAAUAUUUAAGCAGGGCUGUUCUGCUAAAUAAGAAUUAAAACUAAGAUGAUGGUAGUCUUUGGUGAUGUAUUUUGAUGCUGUUCCAGUACAUCAUUUUGAUUCACCUUAUCUCCUGUACUAGUGAUCAUCAAGCAAAUAUGUCAGCAAGCAGUAAACGUGGCUGUGUCAUUAUCACUGAGCUGAUAUUUUGGUUGUUUUGUUUCAGACAUUUGAAUGGCAAGAUCUUCUCAGGGUAGUUUUGCAAGCACUGCAGCAUUCUAGCUUUGACAGACAUAUUCCCCAGCUGAAGACAAUGGCAGUAACAAAGAAGCCACCCACUGCUAACCUUGGUGGCAACCAACAGCAGAGAUAAUAGUGGACAUACAAUUUUUAGCACUAAUCUUUCUCCCAUUUCCUCCACAGGCAGGGCUGUAUUGGCUUCUGUAUCUUGUCCUGUCAGGCGGAUUUCAUAUAAGAUUUAGGAAAAGGAAGUUAAAUCCCACAUUGCUAAUAAGCAAUGACUAGCAGGCUAGUGCAAAUACACAUCCUAGAAGUCCAAGGCAUCUGCCACACCUUAGGAGAAAGCAGCUGGUAUUAAUGCUAAGUAUAUAAUACACAAGUACCUUCUGUGACUGAGAGUCUUCCAUUAGAAAUACUCCUUCUGCUCCUUCUAGAAGAACUUCUUAAAAUAUCAUCAAAGAAUUGUUUAAUACUGUUCAGAAAACUGGAGCAUGCUGUAGCCUCUACAGAUAUGCUGAAUCCUACUGCACAGAAAUUCUUUUUCUUUGAACUAA
ensembl:lncRNA